AAAACCCUACUGUGUACGUAAAUGGUCUCGAAGUUUUGAACCAACACCUUUACAUAGGGGGUCCGGACUCUAUUUCGGUAAGACAAUGCCUUUACUGGACUGUUGAGCUCUAUAGGAGGACACCCACCUGCUUCGGCAGGCUCAAAACUCGGUUAUAGACGGCAUGGUGGGGCUUUU
rfam:Anaeroglobus geminatus F0357 genomic scaffold Scfld12, whole genome shotgun sequence.